GUGUACUUAUGAGUACUUUUAGGAGUAGAAUAAGUACAUUUAGAUAUGAAGCAGUCUCAUGUUAAAUCAGGACGAUUCUCCUCUUUUUGGAUUUAGCCGUUUAAGGUGAAGAUUUCAACGACGUUGUAUAAUCUAACGUCACUCAUCAUGAUCGAUAUCUCAAACCUAAAGGACAUUUUUUUCUAUAACAAUCACGACAACAAAAGAUGAGGUAAUGAUCACAGAGGAAGUCCAGAGGGAAGGACGUGCUCUUUUGUCCUCUCUCUUUGUGGUGGAUAUCAUCCUACAGAGGACAGGAGGGAGACGUGUCGGGGGGGAUUAUUUCAAGGUGAAAGGUUAACGGGAGAGGCUGACAGACUAAAUUAAUGGGAUUAUGCGUCAUCUCGUCUGGAUCUCAAUGUGUCAGGGAGAAAAUCCCCGUAGUGAUUUCAGCUGGAAAAAGACAGACAGGAUUAGAUUCCAUUCAUUAUGUUAAACUGAAU